AGCUCAAGCAGCGUAUAUUUAUAUUGCUGCGUUUAAAAAGCUCGUAGUUGAAACGUCAGACGCGGGAGGGCGGACGGCCGUACCGGUCGCACUCGCCCGACCGAGCCAGGCGCGGAGGGCGCGCGUCGCUUGCACUUCGCCGUGUGAGCGCGCCGCCGCUGCACGUUCACCUUGAAGAAAUUGAACCGCUUAGAGGGGGCGAGCAGCUUGAACAGCUCAGCAUGGUAUGAUGGAACAUGGGCUCGUACUCAUUUUGUUGGUUAGAGAGUCGGCGAGCCAAUGAUUAACAGGGACUGCCGGGGGCAUUAGUACUCGGACGGGAGAGGUGAAAUUCAAGGAUCGUCCGAAGACUCCCUACUGCGAAAGCAUUUGCCAAGAAUGUUUUCAUUAAUCAAGAACG
rnacentral:rRNA from 1 species